CGUCCCUGAAUGGCGGCAAUCCGGGCCACCCUGGACUUCGUCUCUCUCUGAGUUCUGAUUAGUUUGUGUAAAGCGUUCGAUUAUGGCGGUGCUGUGGGUGGCAGCUGAAGUUGGCGGUGCUGCGAAGCUACAUUGUUGUUCGAGGUGGUGUUGAUUGUUGAGUUUCAAUUAGUCACAAUGCGGUGGCGGACGCGGUCGGCAGUUGUCUUUUCCGUGUACGAGCUGUGCGGUGUGGUGGUGGAUUGCAUUGCGAUGCUGAAAUCGACGGUGCUCUAGAGUGGCAAAGAAGCUGUUGUGGUUGGAGCGAGGAUUCUCUUGUACUGUGUGUGGAGAAGUACCCAACGUCGUUCUUUGCUUUUUUUUUUUUUUUUUUUUUUUUUUUUUUUGUGUGUAUCUUCUUGAUCUUACUCAAGUCGUCGUCAACGAAGCUGCAGCCAAUGACUGAGACUACUAGAGCAUUCGGUAGCAGCAAACAAGUACUACUAUGCUUUAUCGGUGGUGCCAACGACUGUUCAAAUUGGUGGUGUUGUGCUGCUCGACGUUGGCGAGGUUGUUGACAGUCCGUGCUCCGUUCCUUCGCGCUUUGGUUCCUGUGGCAAACAACGGUGUUAUUGUGUUUUUUCUAGCUUCUCUUCAAUUGGCAAACUCCAGUGGCGUGCAACAAUUUUCUUCCCUCUAAUCUCUAGUUGUGGACUUGGUUCUGUGAUCUAGCUUCGUCGUUUUCCUGUUGGUUCCCUUCUUGACAUUCGGCGUUCUUGUUGUGAAGACUUGGAGGAGUCAGUUAGCAUUGUAAUAAUAAGUUUGUGGUUUUGGUUGGACUUUGUGUUUAGCUUCUUGCAUUCGCGAGGGAAUUGUAAUCCACAGGUAGGAGUGAAAAAUUCAAGGACAAAUAGAAGACUAUCUUUCUGGCUAAAAGUAGCCUCUUGGCUUGAUGAAAUAUCUUUAAUUAUGAAUAGCGCGGAUGCAAGCAAGGCAUUAUGUUUUGUGAGCAGUAAGGGUGUUGUUACGACUGCUGGAGAUAAAGUGUGGUUUCUUCCAUCAGUGGAUAAUCAGAAGCGUUGACAAUCCAUGAUUGCGACUUAUUUCCAUCGAUAGUGGAAUUUGACGAGAAGAUCCUGUUACUGUUUAUCAACAUUCACAACCUUCUUCUUGCAGCCUAGUGGAAGCGCAGAGGAGCCUUCAGUAUCGCCGCUGCCGAGCAAAUUGAAGUAUUAGUACAAGUGUUGUGCUUGCGAUGUAGACAAGAAAUCCUUGGCAUUAGGUGAAGUAUGAAGGAUUCUGGACAUAGUGGUGGCCUCGUCAUUGAGAUCUAGAGGUUGCAUUUGGCUGCUUGUGCAGUUGAGUUUUGUCCUCUUCAACUCGAUAUUAUUGGGCAGCUGAUUUUCCAAAAUUCGGUGAGCUCCCAGCGGAGCCACAAUAAGGCUCAAUUCCAAGGGAAUAAGAGCUGCCAAACGCUUCCUCGAACGCACGUUGUUGCGAUAUUGGGAUGUGUCACCUUUGCAUGAAGGGAGGAUCAAAGCUACGAAGUAGUGGUCCUGAUACUAUAUUGGCAAGGCGUUUAGUUGGAUCCUUGGAGGUUUACAGGCUCAAGGGGAUUGCUUUAUUGCAGAGCCGGACUACUACGAGAGGAAAGCAUCGAAAGUAACAAAGGUUUCAAGCUAGGAGCAACCACAAGAGGCAUGCUUACAUAAAAGUAAGACUGGAUAAUUCUAACUGUGGACGAGGUUAGAAUCUAGAUGAGUGUAGGAUAGGUUUGAAUUAGGUUAAAUCGGAUGAAAUGUGUAUGGAUGAAAAAAUUAAUGAAUUAGAUGAAUGUUAAAACCAAA